CCUACGGGAGGCAGCAGUGGGGAAUAUUGCGCAAUGGGGGAAACCCUGACGCAGCAACGCCGCGUGAGUGAGGAAGGACUUCGGUCUGUAAAGCUCUGUUAAUGUGGAAAAAUGGUAGUUGGUCUAAUAGGCCGAUUAUUUGAUGGUACACAUAGAGGAAGCACCGGCUAACUUCGUGCCAGCAGCCGCGGUAAUACGAAGGGUGCAAGCGUUGUUCGGAUUUAUUGGGCGUAAAGCGCGCGUAGGCGGACCUGCAAGUCAGAUGUGAAAUCUCGGGGCUCAACCUCGAAACUGCGUCUGAAACUACAGGUCUAGAAUCUUGGAGGGGGAAGGGGAAUUUCUCAUGUAGGGGUAAAAUCCGUAGAUAUGAGAAGGAACACCAGAGGCGAAGGCGCCUUCCUGGACAAGUAUUGACGCUGAGGCGCGAAAGCGUGGGGAUCAAACAGGAUUAGAUACCCUGGUAGUCCACGCUGUAAACGAUGAAUACUAGAUAUUGCAGGAUUUGACCCCAGCAGUGUCGUAGCUAACGCGUUAAGUAUUCCGCCUGGGGAAGUACGGUCGCAAGACAAAAACUCAAAGGAAUUGACGG
rnacentral:rRNA from 1 species